AUCCCUUUCGCUAAGGGCCUCUGUCAUAGAAGACAGCUGCUUUAAAACCCCUUCGCAGCGAACCUCCAAAGCAGCUGCCCUCUCAUCAGACACUCUGAGAACCUCGCGAGUCUGAGACAGCUCUGCUUCUAAAGACUUGGUAUACCCUGCUGUCUCAGCCGCCUUCUCAUCAGCCUUUUUAAGGGCCUCUAGCGCCGAAUGCAGCUCCACUUGGAGGGACUGGAUUUGCUCUCGAGCAGCUACCAGAUUACCCCUUGCGUCACUGGUUGCAGAUAAGUUCUCUUCCAGACGCGCCUCCUCAAUCCGGCGGUCUACAGACUCCUGGAGGGAGCG
rnacentral:lncRNA from 1 species